GACAGAGGGUGCAAACGUUGUUCGGAAUUACUGGGCGUAAAGCGCGUGUAGGCGGCUAUGCAAGUCGGAUGUGAAAGCCCUCGGCUCAACCGGGGAAGUGCACCCGAAACUGCAAAGCUAGAGUCUCGGAGAGGAUCGUGGAAUUCUCGGUGUAGAGGUGAAAUUCGUAGAUAUCGAGAGGAACACCGGUGGUGAAGGCGGCGAUCUGGACGAUGACUGACGCUGAGACGCGAAAGCGUGGGGAGCAAACGGG
rnacentral:rRNA from 1 species